CAAGAAGUCAAACGUUGCCAAGAUCCAUGUGGGAAGCUUCUAUAGGAUUUCUUUUUUCAAACCUUUAAUUUGACUAAAGGUUGCUUGUAUCUACCCCAAGGCCCAAGCAAUCCCCUGGAAUAAGUAGUUGUGGAAAUCUCUCUCCCCCUCAAUCAACCAAAUCAAUUUCAAGUUCCUCAAUACGACCAGCCCCAAAAACCUUUUUUUUUUUUUUUGCAGAUGUUGAAUCUUUUCGUUUGUGGCAGUGGCACUUUUCAUCGAGAAGAAGAAGCUGAACCAUGGAGUAAUAGUCCUUGUUCAUCACCGAGAAAACCCAGAAGGAAGAACCAUAACAAGGACAUCAAGAACCCUUAUUCCACUCGUGGGCUGGAUAAGUUUUCUGAACUUCUAGCUGAUCUUGAGGAGAAGAGGAAUAAGAUUUACUCACAAGUGGGCUCCCAAGACAUCUCUCUCGUACGCUUCAUGUACUCCAACUCCAAUGAUUGGGUUCCAAUUGUGGUGAAGUCCAAGAACAACAUGGAAGACAAAACACAGAUCAGGGAUAUUGUCAAAGAUAAGCAUGAUGCACCGGCUAAUAGCUCCGUUGAUUCGAAAGAACUGAUCAAGCAGCCAAUAUUGGAUUCAAAUGAAAGGCCUAAGAAGAAGAGUUUCUUUUGGAACAUGAAGUUGGAUAGAUGGAGAAGGCCAUCCUAUUAUCUACCAGCAGUUGUAAUCUUGAUUUUGUUGUUGUUGGCUGUGUUUGGGCGAUCUUUUGCCAUACUUUGUACCUCUCUUGGGUGGUACAUAGUCCCUUCCUUGAAGAUGAGCCCCAAUACAAAAAGGUCAACAAAGAAGAAAACUUAUGCAAGAGAAUUGAGCGAGAAUAAGAUGGUGGUCAGUGAGAAGACGAAAGAGUACACAAGAAGCAGUUCCGGGCUUGUGGAAGGAAAAUCACAGCAGCAACACGGCCAUCGGAAAAGCUGGUGAAGAUGAUCGUCUGAUUCUCUACUUUCUCCGUCUUUUUCAAAGGAAGUUAUCAAUCUGCUGUUGUGUUCAUAGGCUCAUGGGAUUUACCCACUACCAACAGAGAAAAAGGUUUGCUUGGAGCAUGAGCUGCUGCGUCAAAAGCCAUUAUGCAGUACAAUUAGGUGGGCGUUCGCGACCAGUCGAAUUUCUGAUUCAACGGCGAGCUAAUUUAUUGGAAUGAAUAAAAUGUAGACACCUGGGAAAAUCUUUGCUUCGUAUGCUGAAUUGUUCAAAUUCAAUUACCUGCCGAUGCCGGAUGGGGUUAGCAUUCGUUCUAAAACUUAGCCACGCAACGAAGUCCGCCGUGAAAUUCCAAGAAAUUCCUUGGCGUAACAUUGCAAAGCCUCAGAAAUUUCUACGCUGCUAACGUGAUAUUCGCAGCAUAUACAUAUUCCUGCUUGCAAGGCUAAAGACUCUCUUUUUCCGACGUUUUCGGAGCUCAUAAGAGGAAUGCAAUGUGAAUUAUUAAAAAUAGUUUAGGAUAGAUAUUUACAAGAAUCUUCAAUGAUAGAAGUGAGGUAAAAGCAUGUCCUGUCCUCAUGUUUUGCCGCGAAAAUUGGGUCAGAACUUAAGGAAAGUGAUAUUAGAUGUCAUUGCAGUGAAAGAUUGAGAU